rnacentral:lncRNA from 1 species
GAAAUGGCACCAUUGCACCUUUGACCCAUUUGAAUUGAAGACAAGUUGCGAACGCAUCCUUCACUCAUCUCAGCGUCGACAAACUGUACGUCAACGGAGAGCUCUACCGGGACCGGGAAGCAACUCCGUGGCUGUACUAGCAGGUGGUAUGUAAAAAAAAUGGUUUAAUAUAAAAGCUUUGUUAAAAAAAAUAAUAGAUGCAAUGCAACUAUGUGUUAUAACUUUACAUCCAGUAUUCAAACUCGUUCC